CCUACGGGAGGCAGCAGUGAGGAAUAUUGGUCAAUGGACGAGAGUCUGAACCAGCCAAGUAGCGUGAAGGAUGACUGCCCUAUGGGUUGUAAACUUCUUUUAUAUGGGAAUAAAAUGUUCCACGUGUGGGAUUUUGUAUGUACCAUAUGAAUAAGGAUCGGCUAAAUCCGUGCCAGCAGCCGCGGUAAUACGGAGGAUCCGAGCGUUCUCCGGAUUUAUUUGGUUUAAAGGGAGGGGAAGUGGAGUGUUAAGUCAGUUGUGAAAGUUUGCGGCUCAACCGUAAAAUUGCAGUUGAAACUGGCUGUCUUGAGUACAGUAGAGGUGGGCGGAAUUCGUGGUGUAGCGGUGAAAUGCUUAGAUAUCACGAAGAACUCCGAUUGCGAAGGCAGUUCACUGGACUGCAACUGACACUGAGGCUCGAAAGUGUGGGUAUCAAACAGGAUUAGAUACCCGGGUAGUC
rnacentral:rRNA from 1 species